AGGAGGAUCGCUUGAGUCCAGGAGUUCUGG
rnacentral:piRNA from 2 species